GGAGUUGGCCAGACAGUCGCCGCUGACGCGUUCGCAAGAGCCGCCAGGGGAGGAAAGUCCGGGCUCCAUAGGGCAGAGUGCCAGGUAACGCCUGGGCGGCGUAAGCCGACGGAAAGUGCAGCAGAGAGUAGACCGCCUAAGCCUUUCGGGGCCGGUAAGGGUGAAAGGGUGCGGUAAGAGCGCACCGCGCGCCUGGCAACAGUGCGUGGCAUGGUAAACCCCACUCGGAGCAAGACCAAAUAGGGACCCAACGGCGUGGCCCGCGCUGGGUCCGGGUAGGUUGCUUGAGCGCUG
rnacentral:RNase_P_RNA from 1 species